rnacentral:rRNA from 1 species
UACAGAGGGGGCAAGCGUUGUUCGGAAUUACUGGGCGUAAAGGGCGCGUAGGCGGCCUGUUAAGUCGAACGUGAAAUCCCCGGGCUCAACCCGGGAACUGCGUCCGAUACUGGCAGGCUUGAAUGCCGGAGAGGGUCGCGGAAUUCCCGGUGUAGAGGUGAAAUUCGUAGAUAUCGGGAGGAACAUCAGUGGCGAAGGCGGCGACCUGGACGGACAUUGACGCUGAGACGCGAAAGCGUGGGGAGCAAACAGG